UUGUUGUGGCCCGGUACAAUUACCUUGAACAAAUUUGAAUAGGAUUUGAAUACCUGAAUAUUUGUGUAUGGAAUAAUGGAAUUGGACCUCUGUUCUACUUUUAUAUAGAUCAAGAGGUAAUGAUUAAUAGAAUCAGUUUGGGGGCAUUAGUAUUACGACGGGAGAGGUAAAAUUCUUAGAUUGUCGUAAGAAGAGAUCGAGAGGUCCGAGUAAACCCCUAAACCACUUUCUU
rnacentral:ncRNA from 1 species